rnacentral:rRNA from 1 species
GAUGAACGCUGGCGGCGUGCCUAAUACAUGCAAGUCGAGCGAACGGACGAGAAGCUUGCUUCUCUGAUGUUAGCGGCGGACGGGUGAGUAACACGUGGAUAACCUACCUAUAAGACUGGGAUAACUUCGGGAAACCGGAGCUAAUACCGGAUAAUAUUUUGAACCGCAUGGUUCAAAAGUGAAAGACGUUCUUGCUGUCACUUAUAGAUGGAUCCGCGCUGCAUUAGCUAGUUGGUAAGGUAACGGCUUACCAAGGCAACGAUGCGUAGCCGACCUGAGAGGAUGAUCGGCCACACUGGAACUGAGACACGGUCCAGACUCCUACGGGAGGCAGCAGUAGGGAAUCUUCCGCAAUGGGCGAAAGCCUGACGGAGCAACGCCGCGUGAGUGAUGAAGGUCUUCGGAUCGUAAAACUCUGUUAUUAGGGAAGAACAUAUGUGUAAGUAACUGUGCACAUCUUGACGGUACCUAAUCAGAAAGCCACGGCUAACUACGUG